rnacentral:ncRNA from 1 species
GUUUAAUAUAAACCAAAAGAUGAUAAAUUAUACCUUAGCAGAACUGAAGCCAGAGAAAACCCUGGUAUAGGUCCGAAGCGACUCUAAGUGCAAAUCGAUCGUCUCACUUUGGCAUAAGGGCGAAAGACUAAUCGAAUUAUCUGGUAGUUGGGUUUUUCUGAAGUUCCCCUCAGGAUAAUUGGAGUGUGUAAUGAAAUUGGUAUAUUCGGUAGAGGAAUGAUUAAAGGGAUUGUGGAACGAAAUGUCUUUAAUCUAUUUUCAACCUUCAAUGAGUAUAACGUCUCCCUUGCUUGGAUGAUACAUAGACAUUCAGUGUGUGCUCCAAUGGACCAUUUUUGGUAAGCAGAUUUGGUGCUGUGGGAUGAAGCAGACGUUGAGAUUCUGUCAUCAGCAUAAGACUCACCGAACUGUACAACUUAAUGCUUCACUGUUCAUCUUGGUUUCAUAAUUAAGCAUGGGACUUAAGAACUAUAUAAUUCUGUCGCAAAAAAAAAUAACUUUUUUUUGCGAAAAAAAAAAAAAA